rnacentral:tRNA from 1 species
UUAAAUAUGGGGGUAUAGCUCAGUUGGGAGAGCACCUGCCUUGCACGCAGGGGGUCAGGAGUUCGAAUCUCCUUACCUCCACCAUAUGUGGGUCUAUAGCUCAGGUGGUUAGAGCGCACGCCUGAUAAGCGUGAGGUCGAUGGUUCGAGUCCAUUUAGACCCACCAU